rfam:Schistosoma curassoni strain Dakar, Senegal genome assembly, scaffold: SCTD_scaffold0023241
AUCCAAUUGACGUGUCCCAAAUAGGAUGAAAUGUGCAUUCUAGAU